rnacentral:rRNA from 1 species
AUUGCACGCUGGUGGCAGGCCUAACACAUGCAAGUCGAACGAGUGGCGGACGGGUGAGUAAUGUCUGGGAAACUGCCUGAUGGAGGGGGAUAACUACUGGAAACGGUAGCUAAUACCGCAUACCAUCAGAUGUGCCCAGCUGGGAUUGGCUUGUUGGUGGGGUAACGGCUCACCACGGAGACGAUCCCUAGCUGGUCUGAGAGGAUGACCAGCACCACUGGAACUGUGACACGGUCCAGACUCCUACGGUCGGCAGCAGUGGGGAAUUGUGCACAAUGGGCGCAAGCCUGAUGCAGCCAUGCCGCGUGUAUGAAGAAGGCCUUCGGGUUGGAAAGUACUUUCAGCGGGGAGGCGUUACCCGCCGAAGCAGCACCGGCUAACUCCGUGCCAGCAGCCGCGGUAAUUC